rnacentral:rRNA from 1 species
GCGGAGGGAUCAUUACUGAGUGAGGGCCUUCGGGCUCGACCUCCAACCCUUUGUGAACACAACUUGUUGCUUCGGGGGCGACCCUGCCGUUUCCGACGGCGAGCGCCCCCGGAGGCCUUCAAACACUGCAUCUUUGCGUCGGAGUUUAAGUAAAUUAAACAAAACUUUCAACAACGGAUCUCUUGGUUCUGGCAUCGAUGAAGAACGCAGCGAAAUGCGAUAAGUAAUGUGAAUUGCAGAAUUCAGUGAAUCAUCGAAUCUUUGAACGCACAUUGCGCCCUUUGGUAUUCCGAAGGGCAUGCCUGUUCGAGCGUCAUUUCACCACUCAAGCCUGGCUUGGUAUUGGGCGCCGCGGUCAAUCCGCGCGCCUCAAAGUCUCCGGCUGAGCUGUCCGUCUCUAAGCGUUGUGAUUUCAUUAAUCGCUUCGGAGUGCGGGCGGCCGCGGCCGUUAAAUCUUUCACAAGGUUGACCUCGGAUCAGGUAGGGAUACCCGCUG